rnacentral:lncRNA from 1 species
GAGAAUGUGCGGUUGAGUAUGCAGGAUGCUACUACUCAUCAACAAGAAACAUGACAACUUGGAGGCAUUACUUAGUAGACUUUCGGUGCAGUGGUGCCUGCGUGUUUUCUUAUAUUAGUGUUGGCUUUUGUCUGUUAGUUUGACAGUUUCUCCGUGUCUUUGUGGUGCGUAAGUGGGUGAAUGGAUUAUCUUGUAGCAAACCUUUAAUUUCUUGCAUGCAUGUGAACCGUUAUUACAAUUUGCUAUCCCAACUUUUGAUCUAGACUCUAAAUUCAUCUCCCAAAAGGUGCAUCUUUGGUGAGCAGAUGCUGAUGGCAUGUCCAGAAC